AAGCGAAUAGUGAAAUCUGGCGGCUCAACCGUACAGACUAUUAUCCAAACUGCUAAGCUCGAGAAUGGUAGAGGUAGCUGGAAUUUCUAGUGUAGGAGUGAAAUCCGUAGAUAUUAGAAGGAACACCAAUGGCGUAGGCAGGCUACUGGACCAUUUCUGACGCUAAGGCACGAAAGCGUGGGGAGCGAACCGGAUUAGAUACCCGGGUAGUCCACGCCGUAAACGAUGGAUGCUA
rnacentral:rRNA from 1 species